GUUUCUUCAAGGAAACUGCCAAUGCAGUUUUCCCGAUAGAUAUUGUAGAGCUCUCUUUUCUGUUUUUUUUUUUUUUUCUUCCUACUUUUUCUGUUGCAUUAGAGGAAACUCUUAGAACCAUAAGCUUUAUACUGUAUUAUAGCUGUUCCAUUCCAUUUGCGAAUAAGAAAGAAAAAAUAAAAAGGAGGAAUGAGGUGGAAGUGGAUAUCCAAGAAGCUCUCUCUAAUGGUAGUUAGUUUUGUAUUAGAUUGAAUCAUUGAGAUUAGUUCUUGUAAAGUUGAUAGAUACCUACAGCUCACCUGUGUAAAGCUUUUAAUUGCUAUAUUAAAAUCUUUUAUCUUCCUGACCUGUACUCCAUGCUAUUCUGUCGUUUUUACAGAUUAAUUAAAUCUUAACACUGGUUGAUCUAUAAUUAGUUCACUACACAGUACACACCUUAUAAAUAAUAGCUUCAUCAAAUUGUUGAACUGUUUUUCAUUGGUGAUGCAUUUCAACUUUCUUGUUGAACCAAAAAUGAAAAAUGUAAGAUUUCUCCUGAAAUGAAAAGAAAAAAAAAAUGUGCAUAAUUGAUGCCUUUCCAGGAAAUUCAGAAAGCUUAAAUAGUUUUCGAAAGGACUUGACUUGCAGAGCAUCUUGUAGCGCGCUUGUUCUUGUCCUCCACUUUGUGUAAUUCUUCAAGUUUUUAAAGUUUAUCAAUAAAAUUUCCUCGGACAUGCCACACGGCAGUAACACCAUGCAUGAAAAUUGAAAAUGUUGAAACUUGAUAAGUACACCGCAACAGUUGAGCAAAAACAAAAUGCAUUCGUCCUUUAUUUGGUGACUCUAAAGUAUGAAGUUUAGAUCUAUCACAAUAAGUGACCGGCCUAGCUCAUUUCAAGCCUUAAUUAAUUAAGAGUUAAGACCAGGAAACAAUAAGCCGAAAGGAAAUUUGGUGCACUUUUUUUGUUAUUUAUAAUUCAUAGUAACAAUCAGAGAUAUGAGAUUACAUCCAAGAUCAACUCUCAGAUAAUUGAUAACUUAUUUCAUACUUCAUGAACAUGAAACAACAACAGAAAGAAAAUUCAGCACACACUCUUAUUUAUGAUUAAACAUCAGAGAAAUGAAAAUUAGAUCAAACAUCAAUUCUCAGAUCAUCACGCUGGUCUUCUACAGUUCUACUGCUCAAGGCGUUCAUGGCAACGUUUUGGGCAGUCAAACAGGAUAUCGCUGCACCAACACCUCAGGGAAAAAGGAUAAAAGAUAUCCUUAGAUCAACGGCAAUUUUUACAGGAUUUGUCACAGAUGUCUAUCUUUUUAUCAUCGCAUUGGCACUGUCUGGGUUCGGUAAAUAAAUAGCAGAAGCACAGAUCGCAACAGCUUUCAUUUGCUUCACCAUGAACAGCUACAACAACAACAACAAUAACAUCAAUAAUACCCUAGCUAGGUGCAUGAGUUGAUCCAUAACCCAGAAAUACAAAAUAAUUUGAAUGUUACUAAUUAAGUAUAUAACAAAUGCAUUAUUUCGAACCUCGCUGACGUAAAACCACAUGAGAACAGAACUAAAGAAAAAACACAAAAUAAGAUAACUGAAGUUCUCAUCUUCUUUCUUUCCAAGGAUUAAGAACUGCAAUAUUAGAAUGAUUUUUCCCAUCGAACAUAUGCUCUAUUUAUAGAUGGAGGGGGCUGGAAUGAGUGUAAGGAAGCUAGCUACGUAAUCGAUCUGACUUAUAAUAUUAAUGCCGGUAGAACUGUAAAAACACCUAAAAUCUUAUCCGCAAUGAGAUGAUCCUGGUAUAAAUUUGUGGUCUGACGCCCUUCGCUUAUGGUUUAUCGCAACUCAGACGACCCUGCAUGUUUUUAACCCAAAAAAUGGUCAUGCUUGCCCUUAUUGUCACUACUACUUGAAGAGUAGAGGGUAGUAGGUAGAAAUGUAGAAUCCAUUAUUGUUUGGUUUGGGUCUUGAUAAAACUAAUCAUCUCUGAAGUAUGUACUGUAAUACUCUAUGUUAAAGCUAAGCAGCUAGCAGAUGGGUAGAUAUAGUCUUUUUUGUGAAAUUCAUUAGAUAUGAUGUACAUAUAUAGGAUAGGAGUAUUCAAAAGAGCCCGGCCAUUUGUGCAAAAGCUGAAGAGCAUCUAUGGCAGUUUUGAGUUCAUCAGAAUUCCAUGUGGAAAGCCCAAACCUUUGGUACGUCUUUACAAAAAAAAUAUAUACAGUAUUCAUGUUGAAAGGGGUUUCAAACAAAACUUGUGCUUCACAAAAAAAAACUUUGUACAGUACACUCUAUAUCAAAAUUUAAUUAUAUGAUUGAUAAUGGAUAACUUAGCUAGAGGCACAGAGAGACAAUUAAGACAAGAUGCACCACUACAUCAGAAUCGAAACAAGAGCUAAGUAGAGUCCUGAACCACCAUACUCAUCAUAUUAAUAAAAAUAAAUAAACCAUGUUCUGUCAUCAGUCCGGCCAGUGCACUAAUUUUUAUGUACCAUUGUUUUCAUCUUCACUAUUUUAUAAGGGGCAUGUAGUUAGCUACAGUAAAAACCUAUAUAAUAUCUACUUAUAUUUUUAAAUUUUUUUAUCGCUACUGUUGACUGAGAUAAGUUGAAGAUAAGAAUGAGUUAUAGCACAUGCAUGAAUACAAAUUUUAUUGAUAUUAUUCAGAAGAAAUGGUUAACAAAAAAUGAACACAAGACAGUGAAAAAUUAAAUCUUAUAUGUAGUUCUACACCAAAUAAUUAUCAAUUUGACAAUUCAAUGCCACAGUUCACCAAAAAAAAAAGAGGGAAAUUUGUUCUUAUCACCUUAAUUGCUUAGAUGGGGGAUUGAGGGGCAUGGUAUUCCCCUUUGGUGGUUCUGAAGUUUCAACUAUCACAAUAAGUGUCCUUAUUAAUAAGAUUUUUUAAUAAUUGAAAAUGCAGUUGAUAAGCCAAUAAAACUAAUACUAAGGAAAUUCAGUACACCCUCCCUAGCUCUUAGUUAUUAUUAUUUAUUAACAUCUGAGAAAUGAGAAUACAUCCAAGAUUCAACAUCAACUAACUCUCAGAUUACAUACAUGUUCUACCAUACUGCUUGAUCAAAGGCGUUCAGAACCCAAUUCAAGGCAAGGUGAAGCGCAGCUGUCCUUGAUAUCCAUACAGCGACACUGUGGAGGAAUGGAUCUUGUGCAACGACAGGCACUGCAGGAACUGUCACAACUGCUCUUUAUAUCAGUGCACUGACAUUGUGGUGGAAUAGACCUUGUGCAGAUGCAUAGAUUGCAACAGCUUCCAUUUGCAUCACCAUCAACAGCUACAACAACAACAACAAAUUAAAACUAAUAUAUAUAUAUGUGCAACUUAAUUAGAGAAAACAAUAUGAACCUAGCUAGCUAUGUUAUGUACCUUGAGUUGUUUUUCCAUCAACUGUUUCGAACAGAGCUGAGGUAGAAGUAGCUGCAAAUGAGAAAAGGACUAAAGAAACAACACAAAACAAGAUAACUGAAGUUCUCAUUUUCUUUCUUCUCUUCAGAGAGUUAGAAUGAUUUUCACAUGCCAAGAUGUCUUAAGUAUUUAUAGAAGAAGUGCAAGUAUACUCGAUUUAAUUUAAUCAAUAAUGUCAUCAGUAGAAGUGUAACAACACGUGAAAUUUAAUCUCUUGCGUUACUGUUAUAAAAUUGAGUCAAGCUUAUCCACAACUCUAGAUCUGCCGCAUGUCCUACCUACUCCAUCUCCAUUUAAUCCCUGUUUUUGUUUUUUACUUUAAAUUUUAUAACCCGUGUGUUAAAUGUGGAGUAAUAGUUACUGUAAAAUACAAAUCAAGAUCACCACAACUGAGUACCGACAGAUCGAGGGGAUGGUGGAAUAAAAAAUGAAAUGAAUGGUUGAAUUUGUUUGUAGGAAUCUAUGGACAAUUAAUUAAUUAUUAGUUUGUCCACAGUCCACACACAUAUAUGCUGGUGUGUUGACAAUGUGUAAGAUAAAGCUGAAGAGCAUCUCAGAGCAUAUCCAGUAAGAUCCACAUAGGAUUUUGGAAGCCCGUUUACAAGCAGCCUUUAAUUAAUUAAGGCAAUUAAACAGCCCAUUUGCAUGAAGAAAUCUAACCCAAAUACUAAUUUUUAUUUAUUUAUGAGAAGCACCAUGAAGAUCCAACAACAACUCUCAGAUUGUUGAUAACUUUAUUUAUCAUUAUCAUUCUAUCAGUCAUCAUGCCUAUCGUCUACUGCAAGUCUGCAACGUGGUGCGCAUUCGGGAUUGAAAUCCAGGCAUUAACACUCUUCAGGGCAUAGUACAAAAUAUCGUUAUCGACUAAUGUAUCGAUCUCCAAAAAAUAGAUAUAUCGGGAUAUAUUGGAAUCUAUCGGUGGAUAUUUUACAUGGAAUGUAUCGAUUAAUAUAUCAAUUUGUUAUACAAAAUAUAUUUAAAAUCAAAUUUGGAAGUAUAUUUUCAUAGUAUUUACCUAAAAAACAUCAUAUCUACUAAAAAUAGAAUAAACAAAUUAUUUCUAAAAAAAAAAAAUUUGAAAAAAAAUAAUAUUUCCAGAAAAUUUCGGAAAAUAUCAGUAAAUAUCGAAUAUAUCGGAAUAUAUCGAAAAAUAUCGGCCGAUAUUUUACAGAUACUUUAAGGCAAAAAUUUCGGGAAUAUAGCGUAUCGUUUUCUUUGAAAACCGAUAAAUAUCGCGAUAUAUCGUGAUAUAUCGCGAUAUUUUGUACUAUGCUUCAGGGAAAGGUAAGAACCCCGUACAAGUACAGUGUUCACAGGAUUCGUGACAGGUAUCUUUCAUUUUAUCAAGGCAAAUGCACUGUAGAGGAAUGGACCUUGUGCAGACGCACAAAUCGCAACAGAUUUCAUUUGCAUCACCAUGGACAACUACAACAACAAUAAUAUAUAUCAAACUUAUUUGAUCACCUAACAAAGAAAAAUUAAUAAUAAUCUGAAUGCCAUUAAAAAUAUAACAAAUGGAUCAUAUAAUAUGGGAUAUAUAUGAAACUUGCGUUGUUGUUUUUCCAUGAACUGUUUCGAACCUAGCUGAGGUAAAACCAAAUGAGAACAGAAUUAAAGCAACAACACAAAAUAAGAUAACUGAAGUUCUUCUCAUCUUAUUCUUUCUUUAAAAGUGUUUGAACUUAGAACUGCAAUCUAUAUCUAUAUAUCUAUAUAAUAGCUAGACCCAUGCGAUCCCACAUUCUCUCUCCUAGGUGGCAUCCUAAAUGAUCUCCAAGCUCUCACAAUUUUUCUAUUUAAAAAAAAAAAAAAAAAAAAAAAAUUGGUUACUUUAAAACUAAUUUUUGUUUUUCUCAAUAUUUCUUAUCCAUUUUUCAUUAAACAAAUAACCUCUACACUUUUUAUCCACUCUCCCACUAACCACGAACCUCUCAAAUCAAAAUAAAAACACAAUAAAAUAGUAAAAACAUGAAUUAAUCAAACAUAAAUAACACGGGCAGUCUAAUGAAGCUUUUUCUCAUACCCCGGUGCGUAGCGCGGGUUCCCAGCUUGUAUCUAUAUAAUAGCUAGACCCAUGCGGUCCCACAUUCUCUCUCCUAGGUGGCAUCCUAAAUGAUCUCCAAGCUCUCACAAUUUUUCUAUUUAAAAAAAAAAAAAAAAAUUGGUUACUUUAAAACUAAUUUUUGUUUUUCUCUAUAUUUCUUAUCCAUUUUUCAUUAAACAAAUAACCUCUACACCUUUUAUCCACUCUCCCACUAAGCACAAACCUCUCAAAUCAAAAUAAAAACACAAUAAAAUAGUAAAAACAUGAAUUAAUCAAACAUAAAUAACACGGGCAGUCUAAUGAAGCUUUUUCUCAUACCCCGGUGCGUAGCGCGGGUUCCCAGCUUGUAUUAAAAUAAUUUUCCCAUUGAUCAAACUCAUAAUAUUAAACACUUGAAAUCUUGUCCGUGAUCACUGAUCAGAUCGAUCCUGGUAUAAAUUUGUGAUUCAGCCUUCUCUUACAGUUAUCUGCAACUCAACUGCAUGUUUUAAAUCCAAAAAAGAUCCUGCAUGUUAUAAAUUUGCGAGUCUUCUCUUAUAAUUUGGUGUUCCACCAUUAUUGGUUAUGUACCGUAGUAUAAAUCCAUGAAUGCUUAAUUUUCAAAGAAGAAAAAAAAUGGAAAAUGAUAUGUCAUCAUGCAAGGAAAACGUAAAACAUGCCAUCACAAGACAAAACAAGGAUCUGAUGAGAUCCACAGAGGAAUUACUUACAAGCAGCUUCUUCUAAAUAACAAACAAAAUGGGACUAAAAUUCAAUUGUUUAGAAGCACAUUAUUGCUUAAAAGUACAUAAAACAGAAUUAUGGGAGAAGUUUACAAGGCAAGGAAAGAUGAAUGAGCUAAAAAGGGCUGAAAGGUGAAAAACCUUCAGUACUGCAAUAGAAAAGGCUAUGGCAAUUUUAAGUUCAUUUCCUGCCCAGGAUGUCUGGGCAGAAAGCCCAGACCUCUUAUCUUUAUAUAUAUUUACUUUGGGUGAGUUACAAAGAAAAACUACAACUGAACAUUGUGUAAAGUGUAAACCAUUUUCUACUUUGUAUACUCUGUAUUCAUCUUGAAAGGAGUUUCAACCAUCAAGAAAUUUAACCUCAAAAACAAAACUUAAUGCACUCUAUGAAAGUUUGUGGUUGAUAACUUAUAAGCCGAGGAGAGACAAGAGGCGCCAAUACCACCACUGAGUCGGAAACAAAGACAUCAUGGUAAAAGCAGAAGAAUAGAGGCCUGGGGCACCAAAACAGGGCAAAUUACAAUCUGAAUUUCUGCAAAUAUAUCUGAUCAGUGUGGCUGGAAGAUACUGUGUAUGAUUCUGGCCUUCUGAUCGAAAUGCAUACAAGAACCAGUAGAGAGAAGUCCUGCAAAACCCUCCAACAGACUACCUUCAACUGCACAUCCCGAAUUUUUGGAGGAACCAACGGGACUACCCUGCUUAACUAUUUCCAUGUGAGCAUCUGUAGAAUUUUCUGAAGGUUUUGCCUCCCAGUCCAAUGGUUGAUCAGACAUUUCCACUGCCCUGCAUCUCUUAGAAUACGGCAAAAGCUCACUGCCUAGAUGGGAAUCAGACAAUUCUGCCUCAGGCUUCCUCUUCGAACCCGAAAACAAUUUCAGCCCUAAAAGAAAGAAAGAAGAAUUGUAAUUGAAGCCUUUCCUAAAUCAUACCUUAUCUAUUAGUAUAACAAAUACAAAAAAUUAGAAAGCUUACAAAAACAUACCAGGGAAACCAUCGUCCGAUCUACAUUCUUCAACUUCAAAAUCUUCAUAGCUACUGCUACGAUUAUGAACGCGCGAGCAACAACUAUUGGAUAUGGCGAUUCUGCAGUUUGAUCUGAAAUGGGAACAUAGAACAAAAUGAGCACGUCAGUAACAGGAUAUUUAACUGCUAUCGUAACAACUCUUCAAAACCAUUUAAUUCAAAAAAAAUAAGUUUUAAAAUCUUAAUUAUCCUAAUUCUCAGUUGAAUUUGAAAACGUUCCAAGAAUUGUGAUAAGUUAUAUACUCCCUUAAUAUUCAUUUUUCUACGUGAAAAAUACUUUCAGUGAAUUACCAAAUUUUCUCAUUCAUAACAAGCGUAGUGUCACUGAAAGAAUGUUGCCGUUCAGUCGUACACAAACCACUGUACAGUAUCCUCACUUAAUUCAUUUUGUAAAACAAACAAAACUGAAAUAUAAUAUUGCAGGUUGUAAGCUAUCCAUGAUUUCCAUGAACUUUUGUAAGUUGCAACUACAGUAACUAUUUCUAAACGUACACUCAUACAGUUCAAAAGGAUUUAACUUUAUGUCCAACGGCAUUUAACUUUUUCAAAUAUAUAAUUAUCCAAUUGGCGUUCCAUGACCAACAGCAUUUAAAUUCAUAAAUUAUGAAAAAAUAGAAUAUCAAAUUUAGUUUUUAAGAAGACGUGUUCAAAAGAUUAACGUAAAAUAACCUGGAAGGUCUCCACAAAUUCAGAUAGAUUCUGACUUUUUAACUACCUCGAAAGUGUUUUGUCAAGUUCAUUUAGACAGUCGUCAAACAAAUAUUAUAUAGUGGCAAACUAUUCCCUGUUUGAGGACACAAAAGAAAAAAGAAAAAAACAAGCAACAAUUUUCAAUAAUAUGAAGAAUCCAGAAAAACUGAGGUAGAUGAUUUCACCACAAGGAUAUUAAGAGGACAUCAUAUACAAAUCCUUGAUUUUCUAUCUUAUGACCACCACUGGGUUUUAAUAAUAUAUAACAGAAAAUACUUACAAUAUAAAUACAAAGGCCUCUGUUUAUAGAAGAAAAAAACACAGAAUAAAGAUUACAUCUAUGAACUGUGUGUGGUGUAAGAUUAUGAGAAACAUAAGAAAACAGGGUUCUAAAAUUAAUUGAGAAACCAACUGACUGUAGAAGAUUCCACCUCAUGGAAAUUUAAGAGAAUAUCAUAGACAACUAUGACAUUCAAAUUCAAGACAAAAACACACCUAGUCCACAUUACUAUAGUGCUUAUACAUUCUAAUGGAACAAAUUUCCAAUGAUUCAAGUAGGAAUCAACUAUACCCGGGGGAAAAAAAAAAGAGAAACAUUUAACAGAUUCACACCUAUGCAUGUGGUCCACGAAAUCAUCGAUUAGAACUGGCCAUGCACCUGCAAAUGAACAAAAGCAGAUAAACAUUAGUUAUGAGAUAAUUAGAAUCAUUCAUAUUAGUAAUAUGAAAGAUCAAACAUUCCUAGUUUGUCAGGAGAUGGCAGCCUAAAAGAUCAUCAAAUAAAAGGAAAAGUCUAACCCCCAUACAUUUAAGAGUCUUGAUGAGGUCAUUAAUCAUCACCAGGAUGCCUGUAUAGUACAAACAGUUCAAGAUGGAGUUCCCAUAAAAAGAAGUUUUUUUUAUGAAAAUACCAGUGAAAUUGGAAGUAGUGAAUUGAUAAGAAUGGGUGGUGCUUUACAAGAGAUCUUGUUGCUCAUAAGUAAGAAACAACAAAACUCUACAAGGUCGUUAUAAGUGAAUAGAGAUAAACCAAGAAGAAGCAAUAAGCUUUUACUACUAUAAAUUUAUAAAGUUAUGGUUGUUUAAGGGAUGCUUGAACAGGGUUAUGAUUUGGAGAAGGGAAACGGAGAUAGCUGUUUGCUGAACUCAUGCUUUUUUUUUAUUAUGGGUACGUGUAGAAUGACAGAACUGCCCUCAGGUUGUUACAAUAGCGUGUUUGAGAGCAUGUGAGCAGCUCACUACGUCAUCUUCCUACAAUGCUAUCUGAUCACUUCAGCAAAGGUAAAUUGCCGAGCUCUUCAGCUAUUUGUGCAUUUGGCAACAUAUUAACAACAAAAUCAUGUGAAACGAAUACACAAGAAGAUUCAUCCACAGAUUUAUCUAGCGUUAGCAGGAACAAAUCAUACAACAUUUUCCACCUUAUAGCAGCACACAAGAAGAAGAAUAUGUAAACCUAAUAAAAGGGAUCAGAAGACCCUCCUCACGAGAAUACAAAGCACAUAAUAAUAGCAGAGAAGUAUACAAAACAGAAUCGACAAGAAAAAAAAACAUUCAUGCCAUUCAGUCCAAUAUAAUAAUAAGCUAUAUGGUACAACACAUAUCAAACAUUUAUCAAAUUCUAAACAUGAAAUUGCAACACUAUUCCACAGCUCAACUUAACACAAAAACUUUAGAUGUCCUUCAAUUUCUUCAUGGACUACAAGAUUAAGCUUUUGUCAUAGUUUACACCUUUGUGUACUCCAAAUGUGUAAACUAUAAUAGUAGAGAAGUAUCAAAAAGAAUGGACAAGAAGAAAACAAUCAUGUUGCCAUUCAGUACAAUAUAAUAACAGGAUAUAUGGUACUACACAAAUCAGGCAAUAGGCAUUUAUCAAAUUCUAAACAUGAAAUUGCAACACUAUUCCACAGCUCAACUUAACACAAAACUUUACAUGUCCUUCAAUUUCUUCAUGCACAUCUAGAUUAAGCUUUUGUCAUAGUUAACACAUCUGUGCCCUACAAAUUGAAAUUUAUAAUUCAGAAAGAGCAAUACCUUUAGGAUCAUAUCCUUCAAGAUCUUCGUGCACACACCGGCUAAAGGCUAGAACUUGCUGCCAAGUAUCUUCUGAAACAUUGUGCCUUUGAUGUUUCUAAGGAAAAUAUAAAAUAGAUUAGACGUCAUGGUAUGAAAAAUGCUUAGAUGAUAGAAAAAUCAAAGACAAUCCAACCAAAANNNNNNNNNNNNNNNNNNNNNNNNNNNNNNNNNNNNNNNNNNNNNNNNNNNNNNNNNNNNNNNNNNNNNNNNNNNNNNNNNNNNNNNNNNNNNNNNNNNNNNNNNNNNNNNNNNNNNNNNNNNNNNNNNNNNNNNNNNNNNNNNNUCGUGAUAAGUAAAUAGUAUUCACUGAUAUAAUUGAAAACAACUACAUGAAGAUAACCAAAUAUAAUUGACAAGAUCUGAUUGAGGCUAAUGUAAGAUUAGCUGCAAGCUGAUCUUUCAUUAGGUCAUCUUCAUAAUGUAAUUUCAUUAUAGCAAUGAAUUCCAUUACUUAUGUAAAUGAAUAAUUUAUUUUCAUAACAAAAUAGUAUGAUUUUGUGAUAAAUCUAAUUUGUUUUACUGAUUGGGCAGAAUCAAGUUACUGACGCAUUGGUUCACUACCAAAUAUUUGUGUCAUUUUGAUAUUUGUAACUUAUAAUAAGUACAGUAUAUGUGACUAGACAGAAAGUGGCUUAGGGAACCUAUAAAUAUAUGAAUGAACUAGUAAAAUUGUUAACCUUGUUAAACUUCGAUCGAAAGGUAAAAACAGAACAGCGAGAGCAUAGUUUUUCCCUCUUGCUAUUUUAGCAGGAAAUUAACAAAUGGACAAUGCACUAAUAAAAAUUUACCUCAACAAAAUUGCACCAUUCGUUAAGCAAUCUAAAUCUUCCUUUCAAGACUAAUUUCCAAGCCUCUAUAGCCUUUUCUAGAGCUGAAAUUAUUCCAAGGAAAUGUUUAAGCAUACAGUAUAUGAGAAAAUCAUAGUAAGGAAGCUAUUAGAGACAUUCAUCAUGUGAAGGAAUUCUCAAGUUGCUUACAGACAAAGAAGCCAACUUACUGAUGUUCUUUUGCCCAUUUUCACGACACAUGAAAAACACAAAGUCAUAGAAGCAUGCAAAUCGAGCUGAGUCAACCUGCGUAAUGAAUUCAAUAGUCAGCCACAAUAACUCGAUAAAUCACAAAGAAUGACAUCUUGAUGCUACGACAAAACUAGCAAGAUAAAAAUAGGUACAUGUAAAUGACUAGACUCAGGCGUGUAAGACGGUAUUAGGAACCACUUUAAAUAAUAUAUACAACCAAUUGGAAAGUAUGUACGUAGGGCUAAGAAAAAGCUUACCAAGUCCAAAUAUGACAUGAGCUUAGAAAGAUCAUUAUAGCGCAAACUGCACAAGAGAAGAAGAACACAAUAUUAACUUUGAUAGUAAAAAUAUGUUAUCAUUUCCGAUAGAAUUCAGAUAAAGCGUUUUGAAAAAUGGUUGUUGGUGAUAACAUACAUUUCUAAAUACCAAUACGCAAUAUUCUAGUUGUGUUACAAGAUAUUUUAACAAAUGUAAGUAUGUUAAAUGAAGCUCAAAACUAUACGCUCACAAACUCAGUAGCGCAUUGCAGAGAGAGAGAGAGAGAGAUUUCAAGUUAAAACAAAACAGUUACAAGAUUUCCCAGAUACAUUAUUUUUUUAUUUUCUUUAUUAUAUCUACAUAAGGAUAUUUCGCUAUUAUGUCAGUCAAUGAAAACUUGAAACAUGCAUAAAGUCUCUAGAAAGAUUACCACGCCUGCCCUCUUAGUUCCACCAAUUUCAGUAGCUGAGUUAGUGCCUCCUUCGGGUUUUGAUCAUCUUUUCGUGACCUAAUGUCUACAAAGAAAUAACAGGAACGUAGGUUUAAUUUCAUGCGUAGGAGUACAAAGAAUUCAAGGCAACAGUUAUACAGAAAGUCAUGAGAGUUGUAAGUUCCAAGUAUGAAAUCUUUAUAACUGAGUAGUCACAUGAUAUAGAGUGAGGUAACAUAUUUGCUGAGCUCUGUAAGUUCCUUUGAUUAUUAACUUUUCUGUCUAACCAAAUAAGACUAUCCUUAUUAUUCAGUGAUGAGGGUGAGUACUAUACAUUACGUAUCAGUAAUGAUAAGGAAAAAAAAAGAGUUCUUGAGUAUCAACUAUUGAGCACUGUAAAUAAAUACAAACUGCCCUUAUACACAUAUAUAGGACUAAGUUUUACUACUCUUUGGGUAUGUACGAAUUUCAUAGUUGAUGCAGUCGAAUACCUAACUAUAAAGUGUACUAGUGUAGUAUACCUAUUAAGUAUUAACUACUCCGUCAAAUACCUGACUAUAUCUUAAAACAGGAAUGCUGGACAAUACAACAUCUCACUAAGAUUGCUAAAGAAGAAACAAAUCAUACUCAUAGAAUCAAUUCAAUCUUUUAGCUCAAAGACAUUAUAAAAGUUAUUCAUAUAAGCUAAAACCAACGUGCAAGCAAUUCACUACAUCUAAACAAGACAAUUUCCCACACCGACACUUUAUCAAACACUUAAUUAUCAUAAAAGCAAUUGCAAUUCAGUCCUAAGUUAAUAGUAUUCAUAAAGAAUUGAAUCAAUUCACAACAUCAAAACAUCGAAAUUCCUUGCACCAACAUUUCAAACUCUUUAUAAAAAGACUAAAUUAUCAUAAAAUGGAUUGCAAUUCAGUCUAAAGUUAAUUGAAUUAACAAAGAAUUGAUUCAUUUUCAGCUAAAAAAUCAAACUUUUUAUCUUCUCACAUUGUUUAUUACGAAAGAAUUAAAAGAAAGAAAAUCAAGUAAGUGUAACUGAAUUACCGCAAUAUCUUCUGUAAAUCUCGACGAUAUCAAUGAAAUUCGAAGUACAAGAAGAUGAAGAAGAAGAAUUCAUGAUGAAUUCUUAAGAAAUAAAUCAAAGAAUUUGAAAGAAUAGGGUUUAUUAAGAUUAGAUUAAAGAAUUCUUUUGAAUUUCCAUGAAUAAAACCCUACUUCUUAGUUUAAAGAAUUUUCAAAAACUGAGAGAGUUUUGUUUGUUUUCGAUUUAUAGAGAGAGAAAGAUUGAAGAGAGAGAGAGAGAGAGGGAGGAGAAGCCAAGAGACGUUUUCUCUCUCUUUUAUGUUGAGUUGUCAGUUCGUCACACCUCGCAAAAUCGUAAUUACGAUUAUGAACAUUCGCGGGCCCGGGUUGUGUACCGUUAAAACUUUUACCGGCUCAAUAUUUUUUCGACCUGGAUCCUUCAGAUCAAUACAAAGCCCAAUGGGCCGAAAUAGAAAUGUUAGGUGACUGUUGAGUCAAACCGUUGGACACCCCUUCCAUCAACACUUUUUUUUUUUUAAUAAAAUAAAAUUUUUAUUAAUAAAUAGAGGAAUUACAGGGGACACGUGCGCUACAUGCUGCAUUGCAAUAAGCCAGGCUUAAUCAAUCCCAAGGCUGACAAAUUCUACCACCAAUGUUUGGUUUCAAAAGCCUGUAUAAAUGUGUUUCUGUAAAUAGAAUAGUGGAAUGACUCCAUUACAUGUAUGAACUGAAACUUGGAUCAAUCAUAUACUGGGUCAUAUUCAUCAGCUUCUGAAUCUGUGAUCUCUACCAAACUCCAAUAAGAAUAAUGCGAAUUUGAUUUUAAAUAGGAUGAGGAUAUAACCAGGGCUCCAUGAUCUUUGUUUUUAAUAUCAAAUGCAUAAUCUUGAAGUAACAUUAAAACAUUCGGCAUACUUUUAAGUUUAUUUGAGGUUUUCUUAUCCAUUUCAGCGCCAAAACCGAAUGGCACUGCACUGGACGGAGACAUGUUUUAUUUCAAAUUUGUAGAAGAAGAAGAUCGCAAUCGCAUACUAGAAGAAGGGCCUUUCUACAUCUUAGGAAGCUUUUCGUAAUACGAGUUUGGUCGCAAGAAAUUGAAGAUAACAGAGGUGCUAUAACUACUGUACCCAUUUGGGUGAAGAUGUUUAAUGUUCCAAAAUACCUUCAGUUUUCUUGCUAGUGCUUUGGGAAAGCCAAUUUGUCUAGACAAGGUCACCGAAAGCAAACAAAUGCUUACAUUUGCGAGGGUAUGCAUUGAUGUUUCAGCGGAUAAAGAAUUAUCAAAUGAAAUUCCAAUUAAAACCAAGUCGGGAAAGAUAAUUACUAUUGGUUUGGAAUAUCCAUGGAGGCCAUUGAUGUGCACCAGCUGCAAGGUUUUUAGCCACAGCACACAAGCUUGUGGGAAGAAGACAAAUGAAAAACCCAAAAACGUUGCACUUUGAAAGCAAGGAAGGAACCAGGGGAAUGGAUACAACCACAAAAGAAUUGGAAAAGGAAGGAAGCCUAUGCACCAAACCACCCCAAACAACAGGAUUAUCUAGGGAAAGGGAAAGGAAUCAUGGGGGAAGAAAGGCAAUUUACAAGCCCCAAAACACAAGCUAGAAAUGUCAGUGGCAAUCAUAAAGGUAACAAGGUGUCUGCACAACACAAUAGCAACAAAUUUAAGUGUUUGGGGGAAGCAGAUGAUAAUGCAGUUGAUAAAAGAAGGAAACAAGUACAAGCUGAAAGGGAAAGUACUUCCACAGCAAUUGUCACAGUUCCAGACAAUUCAGAGUUGAUGCUUCUAACUGAAGGAUCACAAUCUAACCUAGAGAACACUGAAAAUCAUAGUGAAGAAAAUGGAGAUGAUAGUGAUGACUAUGGAGACCUUGAAGAUGGGACUAAGUUUGAGAUGCAGAAGCACAAGUCAACAACUCCAGACCCUUCUAAGUACCUGUUAAGUCCAGAAGAGAAAGAAUAUGAGGCUUCAAGAAUGCUAAACAGGUCAAGGAAAUUGCAGCAAGGUGGCAGUAGAAGCAAAGAAAAACAUGAAAAGCAUGAGGGAGGGAAAACAAGAGGGAGGCCCUCUCGAAAAUAAUGGCGAAUAUAGCUGUAUGGAAUAUAAGAGGUCUCAACGACCCAAAAAAAAACUGUAGAAGUAAAAAAAUUAGCUAUUAGUCACAAUCUCAAACUUAUUGGGCUUGUAGAAACCAAGGUUCGAGCAAGGAAUACUACCAUAGUGCAGAGUCGAUUUGAUGGAUGGGCAAGCAUUAAUAACAAUUCCAAAGACCAUAGAGGGAGGAUUUGGGUUCUUUGGGACAUUAAAGUUUUGUCUGUCAAGAUGAUAGAAAUGACAGAUCAAGUCAUUCAGUGCUCAGUGCAUGAUCUGAUUCUAGGGGAGCAUUAUUUUCUUUCUAUAGUUUAUGGAAGGAAUACUAGAAUUAGCAGAGAACAAUUAUGGAGAAGUCUAGAAGAUUUCAAUAGUAACAAUGCAUUGAAUGAACCUUGGGUUCUAAUGGGAGAUUUUAAUGUAUGCAGAAGUCUAGCUGAGAAGGUUGGAGGUAACAUAAUUACACAGAGAGACAUCAUGGAUUUUGGUAGGUGUAUAGAUGAGUGUGGAUUGGAAGACUUAAAGGCUACAGGUAUGUACUACACAUGGACAAAUAGGAGUGAGACUGAUGAUAGCAGAAUCAUGUGUAAGUUGGACAGAUGUUUGGUCAACAUACAUUGGUGCAACAGAUUCAAUGAAACUGAAGCCCACUUCCCAGCACAAGGAGUCUCCGACCAUGCCCCAGUGACACUGAAAUGGCCUAACACUUGUGACAGACCUCACCCUCCCUUCAGGUUUUUUAACCAUUGGGUGGAACAUGAGGAAUUCAAAGAGUUGGUAGCUGAAAUCUGGCAGUGUGAAGGAACAUGCAAUCCAAUGUUAAGAUUGUACACCAAACUGAAGUUAUUGAAAUCAAAGCUUAAGGAAUGGAGUCAGGAAAAAUUCUCAGAUUUGCAAGGAAAAGUCAAAACUGCAAGGGAAAGACUGGAAAUAAUACAAGUGGAAAUACAGAGUAAUCCUCUAGACACUCGACUAGCCAGUAUGGAAUUAGCAGCACUCAGAGACUAUGAUGAACUUGCUAAAGCAGAGGAGUCAUCAGCUAGGCAGAAAGCAAGUGCUAAUUGGGUUGAGUUGGGUGAUGAUAACACUGUUUUUUUCCAUAAAGUUAUGCAAGGAAGGAAAGCUAGGAAUUCAAUACACAGAAUUGAGAGCAGGACACAACAAAUUCUGAUUGACAGGGAAGACAUAGUAACAGAGAUAGUCCAACACUAUGAGGAGGUUCUAGGCCAGAAAACACAGAGUCCGUAUCCAGAAGAUCUAUGGGACCACAUUCAAUUAGAGAACCAGGUUCCAGAGGAGAUGAGAAACUCAAUGUGCAGACCGGUCACAAGGGAAGAAAUCAAAGAAGUAAUGUUCUCCAUACCUGACGACAAGGCACCAGGACCAGACAGAUUCAACUCAAAAAAUUUUAAAUCAUGCUGGGACAUUGUUGGUGAUGAUGUAGUCAGAGCUGUCACUAACUUUUUCCAUUCUGGGAAAAUGUUGAGAGGUACAAAUUCUACUUUCAUAAGUCUUGUUCAUAAAAAAGAAAUGCCUAAUAUUGUUGGGGAUUAUAGGCCUAUAUCAUGUUGUAAUGUAGUUUAUAAAUGUAUCUCCAAGCUUAUAGUUAGUAGACUACAAGAUUCUAUGCCUUUUGUUACUAACUCUAAUCAAACAACUUUCGUGGAAGGGAGUGACAUUACUGACAAUUUCAUGAUCACUCAUGAGCUUGUGAGAAACUACAACAGGAAACAUAUAAGUAGAAGGUGUACAGUCAAAAUUGAUAUACAGAAGGCUUAUGACUUCAUCAGAUGGGAACUUAUUCUAGACGUCUUGAACAAGCUGCAGAUUCCCUAGAAAAUGGUUGAAUGGAUAUUGGCAUGCUUGAACUCAGCCCACUAUUCUUUGUUGAUAAAUGGAAGUGUUGAAGGUUUCUUUAAGGGGGAAAGGGGUCUUAGACAAGGGGGCCCCUUGUCUCCCCUAUUGUUCAUUCUAGCAAUGGAGGUUUUUGGUGCUUUUUUGCUGACUCAAUACAGACAAGGCUCCUUCAUUCUACACCCCAAGUGCAGAGACCCACUCAUUACCCAUCUCACUUUUGCGGAUGACCUUAUGAUCUUUUGUACAGCUGAUGCCUCAUCUGCCCAAGCUAUACAAAAUGCCCUGACAACUUUUAACUCUUACUCUGGCCUUACUGCAAACCCCCUAAAGAGUUCUAUCUUCUUUGGUGGUACCCCAGACCUUGUCCAAGCUGAAGUUGCUCACAUAUUGGGCAUGCCCAUAGUCCAGCCCCCAAUCACUUAUCUGGGUCUCCCCCUUACCACCUCUAGGCUGCUGGUAGGUGACUGUCAGAUGUUGAUUGAGAAAAUGAAGAAAAAAAUUGCUUCUUGGAUGAGUAACCUACUGUCGUAUGCAGGUAGGCUAGUCCUCAUCAACUCAGUACUCACUAGCUCUCAAAUCUACUGGGCAAGAGUCUUCAUGCUACCUAAAACUGUCAUCAGAAAGAUGAAUCAAUUAUGUGCUGACUUUCUUUGGGCUGGACCUGAGUUGGGAAGGAAGAAACAUCUUGUCAAGUGGUCACAAUGCUGUAAACCCAAAUCUGAGGGGGGUUUGGGUAUCACAGACCUGCAGACAUGGAACCUUGUAGCUAUUGGAAAGCAGGCCUUCAACAUAGCAGCAAGGAAGAAAUCUCUAUGGAUAGAGUGGGUGCACAGGAAUCUUAUUAAAACUGCCAGUUUUUGGACUAUGCCGGUUCCUGUGGAUGGAUCUCAUAUAUGGAAGGGGAUACUAGAAGCCAGAAAUGAAAUUAUUGUUCAUGUGACUUGCAUUAUUGCUGAUGGAAGGAACACUAGAGUAUGGCAUGAUCCAUGGUUACAAGGAGGCCUGUUGAAAGAUGGAGCUACAUGUUUUCAGAGACAAGGUUGUGGUGUGAGAGACAAUGCUGUGGUAGCUUCACUUAUUCAUGGAAAUACUUGGAGACUCCCAGCCCCAAUCAAUGAAACAAUUUUAAACUUGUGGACUUAGAUACAGGAGGCAGUCAUUGAUCCCACUGAAGAUCAUGAUACACUAGUGUGGAAGCCACAUCCCAGUGGCAAAUACACCAUCAGAACAGCCUAUCAUGUCAUGAGACCCCGACUCUGUAAACUGCAAUGGCCGAAGGUCGUAUGGAAAAAGAACACCACACCAAAACAUGCCUUUAUUACAUGGCUCGUAAUGCAGGAAGCGGUUCUAACACAAGACAAGCUGCUCAGCUGGGGUAUGCUACAAGAAACAAAUUGCAUGCUCUGUAACCCAAAAUAUGGAGUACCACAGAAAGGUAACUAUGGAAGACAAGCUACAGUUCCAAGGCCAAUGCUGCAACCACAGGUACCACCAAUUUGCAAUGUGAGACAUGUAAAUACAGUGACUGCAGUUAAUCAAGGACCUAGCACCAGUAUAAGGCCUGUUCCAGAAACCUCCAAACAUCUAUUUUUUGAUUGCACCUAUUCUAAGAAAGUUUGGACAAAACUUCUGAAUUGGUGCGGGUUUAGCAGGACUGUGAAGACUGCAGUGUAUGAAUGGAAAUGGAUUAGUAGAAGCCUAAAAGGGAAGGGGCUCUGGAAAGACCUAUGCCAGGUGGCACUAUGUGCUACAACUUACUGGCUAUGGAAAGAACGUAAUGCACGAAUAUUUGAAGGCAAAGAAUCCAAUGAAACUACCCUGGUAAAUAAGAUUGCAGAAACAGUCAAGCUCAGGACAAAGAGAAGAGGCAUAAUUCUAGAUGAUACACAUGAUAACAGAGUCAUAUAUGAUAGGAUGCAUAUCCAGGCAACUUUCAGAAGAGCAGAGGUUAUUGAAGUCAGCUGGGAGAGACCACAUCAAGAUGAAGUGUGCCUAAACACUGAUGGGACACUUACUGAUAAGAAUGCAGGUUAUGGAGGCAUCUACCGAGACCAUGAGGGCACCGUUUUACUGGCAUACUGCAGUCCAGCUAAAGGGCCAUCCAUUACUACCAUAGAGACAGAAGCUAUUGUUAUGGGAUUACAGAUUGCGAAGGAAAGGGGAUACACAAGAUUACGCAUUGGUUUAGACUCAAAGCAAGCUGUAGACAGCAUUAAUGGAGCUAUUGAAGCUUCAUGGAGAUCAAGGAGACAUGUCAGCAGAGCUAGAGAGCUGAUGCAUGAUUUUGACAACAUUACUGUGAAACACAGCUAUAGGGAAACCAAUAGAUGUGCUGAUUUUCUAGCUGGACUAGGUGCUACUGGGGAGUCACUCAAUGUAUUCAUAGGUCCUUUCCAGGAGAACUUGCUACAACUUGUAAACCAGGAUGCUACCAACACCCUGUACUAGGGGUGCUGAUUGGGGCGGGGCAGGACGGGGCGGGGGAAUAGUGUGCGGGGUUGGGGCGGGGCGGGGCCAAAUAAUCCCCGUUCUUAGGCGGGGCGGGGCGGGGAACGGGGGCUUAAGAAAGUUCACCCCCAUCCCUGCCCUGUACAGGUCGGGGGACGGGGAACGGGGCGGGGCGGGGACGGGGAAUGUGACACCAUAUAUUGCUACAAAUGGGAAUUGACCCAAUAACACACAGGCCAAGAACUGAUCUUAAUCUUCUAGCAAAUCUACCUCAUCUGCUUGCUGCUGCAAACUUAAGCAAUUUAAUGAAUCUUUGGGACAAUGCUUUAAGACUACAAGCAGAUGCGGCACAGUUAGCCAAGAUUCAACUGCUCCACAGUCUAACACAUGUAUCGUUUUCAUUUUUUGUUGCUGUUGUUGGUGGUGAGUUCUUCACUAGACAUCUGAUACUGCUGUUGCUGUGUGAAGACGGAUUUUGGUUAUAUGGCCAACAUUUAAGCUUAUUCCGACUCGUAUAUUUUCUUCCAAAUUACAAUGCAGUAGAUUUACAUCCAAUUAGGCAUAUAUAUGAUGAUUGUUGUCAAUUUCAUCUUUACGCUAAUUGGGAAACUGUGGCAAUUUGCCUCAAGAAAUGAGUUAUUUUAUGGCACCACAGCUCUAAAGUCUAAACCAGUGUUUGAAAUGAAGGCAUUGCUUUACUGUGCCUCAUUCUAAGUUUUGUAAGGUUGAUAUAUGGGCGAGCAUGCAUCUGCACACUAGUUAAUAGAGAACUUUUACAGCUCUCCAAAUCCCUUACUAAUACUCAUGUGCAAAUACAGUUAACAAUUAAUCGGAGUCGCAUUUCAAUUAUUUACCCUUUCUCUUUGUCCUCCUUCACCAAUGAGACCAAAAUCAUGGAUCUUAUGUCAGGCCUACUGCAUACUUGUUCUUGUAAUUCUCGUUUGCAUCCAACUUCCUUUCCUACACACUAAAAUAUCUCACUUCUCUCUUAUAUUUUAAAUAAUAAUAAACCUUCGAUCAAUUACGGUAGUGCUGUGAAAUUCAUGACUGGCUACUCACCUCUGCAAGACUGCAAGACUGAAAACGAUAGGGAUAUGGGGCGGGGACGAGGCGGGGAUAUGGGGUGGGGAACGGGGCGGGGCACGGGGCGGGGUUUCAAUCUAUACAAUGAAACCCAUCCCUGCCCUGCUACCCAUUGGGGCGGAUACGGGGCGGGGCAAAUAUUGGGGCGGGGCGGGGCGGGGAGAUAAAAAACGGGGCGGGGAACGGGGCGGGUCCGGGUCACGGGGCAAGUUGAGCACCCCUACCCUGUACUCUAGACUGUAACAUUUUUUAUUUAAUAUACUGGUAGGCGUCUGCCAAACCCCAGCUCAAAUUCUGCAAAAAAAAAAAUACCAACUUCAUAGUCUACAUGUUGCCUUACAUGAACAAGCCAGUUAUCAAAACUCCAAUCCACAUUACAUUCAAAUAAAUGAUGAUAACUGAAGAUAUCAUCGAGUUUAUGAUUCCAGUUAGUCGGAGAUACCAAAAACAACAAACCAAUGGCGUCCAUCGCCACGGGUGGAAAACGCAUCUAAACAGUACACCAUUGAACUGAAGUGUCGACCCGCUGAGGAGUCCAAACAACAUAACUCAACGAACAUUGGUGACAAAUUAAAGUGAACUGGGUGGAUAAUAAUAAAGUGAAAGAAAUACGUCCUGAAGCUGCACGGGAGACAAAAGAACGAAUUGGGAUAGCUAGUGAAGAAUAUGAUGAAGGAAAGGGACAACGUUUAGACUUCGACCAGAUGGAAAGUAUUGAUGUUGGCCUUCUUUAUUGAGUGACAAUUUGGUAUUAUUGAGAUUUGAGGAAUAGAGAUGCUAUAUAUUGCUAUAUAUUGAGUAUUAUGAAGAAUAAAGCCAAGGGAUGGUCCGAGCAGCUAUAAUAGGUUGUGGCAGACAUUGUAUGAAUUUGAUUCUUAGGUAUUGAAUAUUGAUCGAAAAAAGGAGAGUGAUUUUAAGCAGUUGUUACCAUAAUUUAAAAUUUCGAUUUCGAACGAAACUUCAAUUAUAGGCCGAGUUUCGCAAAAUUUUGUGAAAUAUCGUAAUUGUGAAUUCUCCCAUAUCGGCAUAUAACGUCGAAAUUUUGUAAAAUGUAACAAAAUUUUAAACUAUGGCUAUGUUUGGUUUAGUGGAAUUCAGAUUUCACGAAAAAUGUAAUAAACACCCUACAAUCUAGGAGAUAAAAAGGAAAACAAAUUCCUUUUUGACAGAUUCUGGUGUAAGCUGAGACGAGAUUCCUUAAAUUUAAAAUGGAAAGAUAAAUGUGUCAAGUAAUUAUCUUAGUUGAGAUUUCUUUCUAUCGUACUCUCUUUCACCCUCUUUUGAUUGUGCACUCUGUUCUUUUUUUUUUAUCUUUGCCAAUAAUGCCCUCUGUUUUCCGGGAACCAAACACAGUCUAUGGUUGUUACUUGUUACAGAGAGACAAACACAUACACAUCUUGGACCAAAUUGCAGAACCCACCCAAUUGGUCCAAGCCCAAGCCAAAAUCCCAAACGGCAUUUCUUAUGCUUACUGGAUUACUUCAAGAACACUGUAGAAACUGGGCUCCACACGGUUUCACACCAAAUAGAUAACCAUCAAACCUCCAAUCGCUUCGCACAUUGUUUUCAAACUUUUACUUUACUUUCUAGAAAAUAUCCUUUCUUUACCUCUCUACCUACGCUACUAGUUACUGUGCAUAAACACAUUCUAGAUCAUUCCACAACUUUCUAUCUCUGCUUCUUUAUAACUUCUCUUCUCACUUUCCCCAAAACUUCAUUCUUUCAUUUUUCUCUCCCUCUCUCUGUAAUCUUCUCUGUUUUAUUAUUUCAAUUCAUCAUCAAUGGCUUCUAAUGAAUCUGAAACUGCAGAUUCUUUUGCUUCAUUUUUAGAGCAAUUAAUUAGUUCUAGAAACAGAGAUCUCUCUUUCUUUCUACCUUUUAUAUUGGGGUUUUCAAGUUCAUCAACAAGAAGAAGAGGAGGAGAAAGUGAAACUGAGUCAUCAGAUGAAUCAGAUCAAGAAGGAUCGGAAAAUCAACAGCAACAACAACAACAACAACAAAGUCCUCCUCGUGAUCGAAUUGUUUUAAUUAAUCCAUUAACACAAGGUAUGAUUGUGAUUGAAAGUAGUCGGAGUUUAGAAGCUUUAUUGCGUGAAUUGACAAACAAAGAUGGACCUAAACCAGCUACAAAAGCAUCAAUUGAAGCUAUGCCUAAAGUAAUAAUGACUGAAGAAGAUGAAGAGAAAGAAUGUUCAAUUUGUUUAGAUGGAUGGGAAAUUGGUGGCGAAGCAAGAGAGAUGCCUUGUAAACAUAGAUAUCAUUCAAAAUGUAUUGAAAAAUGGUUAGGAAUUCAUGGAAAUUGUCCUGUUUGUAGGUAUAAAAUGCCUAUUGAUGAAGAAGAAGAAAGUAAGAAGAGUUCUACUACUAGUACUAGUGUUGAUGGUGAUGAUGAAGAAGAAAACAGAGGAGGAAGAAGGGGUGGUGAGAUUUGGGUUAGUUUUGCUAUUGCUGGUAGAAGAGAUUCUGAAGAUGUAAAUGCUGCUGAAGAUUAAAGAAAAAGUUUUUAGGAAUUUUUUCUUUUUUCUAGUUUGUACAUAGAAACAAAAAGAAUUUGCUUUUUUUUUUUUUUAGAAUAAUUUCUUAAUUGUUUUUAGUUGGUGGUGAGAAAGUGGAGAAAAAAAGUUAAAGUUUGAUGUAGAGAAGUAUCUUUUCUUCCAUGUUUUUUUCCCCAAUUAGUGAUGUAAUUUGGUAAUACCAGUUUGUUUGUUAGUAUUUGAUUGAAAAUCUUGCUAAACUUGUUUUAUUCAUAGGAUUGAUUCAUUUGUUGCUGUGCGGA
rnacentral:lncRNA from 1 species